CAGCUUGAGUUUCUCUUCAAUCACGUACAAAUCUUUCGCCUUUUACUAAAGAUUUCCGUGGAGAGGACCUAAUUUGAGUUUUGCUUAUUUUUGGGGGCUCUGCUGUUUGCAGAGCU